AGCAGCCGCGGUAAUUCCAGCUCCAAUAGCGUAUAUUAAAGUUGUUGCAGUUAAAAAGCUCGUAGUUGAAUUUCGGGACCAAGUCUGCCGGUCGUGCCUCCGGUACGCACUGGUUUUAUUGGUUUCUCCCUUCUGACGAACCAUGAUGUACAUUAAUUUGGUGUCAUGGGGAAUCAGGUACUGUUAACUUUUGAAAAAAAUUAGAGUGUUUAAUAGCAGGCUCACGCUUGAAUACAUUAGCAUGGGAUAAUGAAAUAGGACGUUUGACCCUAUUUUGUUGGUUUCUAGGAUCGACGUAAUGAUUAAUAGGGAUAGUUGGGGGCAUUAGUAUUCAAUUGUCAGAGGUGAAAUUCUUGGAUUUAUUGAAGGCUAACUACUGCGAAAGCAUUUGCCAAGGAUGUUUUCAUUAAUCAAGAACGAAAGUUAGGGGAUCGAAGACGAUCAGAUACCGUCGUAGUCUUAACCAUAAACUAUGCCGACUACGGGAUCGGAUGGAUGUUAAUUUUUAAUGACUCAUUCG
rnacentral:rRNA from 1 species